UUCUUGAAAAUUAAAAAAUUUGGCGGUAUUUUAGUCUUUUCAGAGGAACCUGUUCUAUAAUUGAUAAUCCACGAUUUAAUGUACUUGUUUUAAUAAAUUUAUAUAUCGUCGUAGCUUGAAUAUUUUAUAAUUUAAUAUUAUCAGAUCAAGGUGUAGUUUAUAAAUAAGAAGAAAUGGGUUACAAUUAAAUUAUGAAUUGGAUUUGAAAGUAAGCUCUAAAAUAUGUACAUAUUGCCCGUCACUUUUGUUUUAAGAUGAAAUAAGUCGUAACAAAGUAGAUUUACUGGAAAGUGAAUCUAGAAUCAAAUUAGAGCUUGUAAAGCUUUUUAGUUACAUUAAAAAGAAAAUUAUUAUUUAAUUUAAUUUGAAUGGAAAAAAUUAUUUAAUUUUUUUAUUAUUUUUUUGUUAUAAAAAGAAAUUUUUGUUUAAGUUUAGUUAAGAAAAAAUUUUAUUAUAGUCUAUUAGUAUUGUAAAAGAAAUUUUUAUAUAAUUUAAAGAAAAAUUUUAUUUUUGUACCUUGUGUAUCAGGGCUGAUUAAUUUAGUAUUCUCGAAUUUAAAAGAGCUAAUUUUAUUGUGAAAUAAAUAUUUAUAAUAAAUAAUUAGAAAUGAAACGUUAUUCGUUUUUAAAUAUAUCUAGUUUUUAAAGAAAUAAAUUUAAUUUAUAUAUUAAUAUUUAAAUUUUUUAGGGAUAAGCUUAAAAAAAAAUUUUUAUAACUAAUAUUUUAUAAAAAAUUUAUAGGAUUAUAAUUUUCUAAUAAUAAAAAAAUGUUAUAAUUAAUUAGUUUAAAUUUUUUAUUUAAAUUUUAUUAUUAAUUUUAUAUGAUAAGAAAUUAUGAUUAAAUUAGUAAGGUUAAAUUAAGGAAUUCGGCAAAAUUAUUUUUCACCUGUUUAAUAAAAACAUGUCCUUAUGAUUAUAAUUUAAGGUCUGAUCUGCCCACUGAUUAAAUGGCCGCGGUAUUUUGACCGUGCAAAGGUAGCAUAAUAAUUAGUUUCUUAAUUAGAAGCUGGAAUGAAUGAUUGGAUGAGAAAAUAACUGUCUCUUGAAUUUUAUUUUUAAGUUAAAAAGCUUAAAUAAUAUUAAAAGACGAGAAGACCCUAUAGAGUUUUUUUGUUGGGGUGAUAAAAAAAUUAAAAUAACUUUUUUUAUGAAUGAAUAAUUGAUCCUUGAUUAUAAGAUAAAAUUACCUUAGGGAUAACAGCGUAAUUUUUUUUGAGAGUUCUUAUCG
rnacentral:rRNA from 1 species